AAAGUGCGACAAGUGUCAUGACUUGCAGAUACCCGAGAGCUGACAAAUUUCUGAAUGCAAAUUGCAGCCAAGUUAACCUGGCUAUACAGUGCAGAGAGUACUUCGCGUAUGCGCUUACUCUGGGGUUGAGCACAACCUUCGGGUUGUCACUUCUGGGACCUGCAUGAUUGAGCAUAUGUUGACAUAUUGGCACACGCCAAUACAGUCCAAGCUCUCCCAUGUUAAAGUCAGAAAACCAUCGAGUUUUCCUGAAUUACUGAGAAAAAGAGUUUAAUACCCUCUUACCUCUCACCUCUCACCUCUGCAUUGUAGGAGAACCCGCUGAACUUAA
rnacentral:misc_RNA from 1 species